rnacentral:rRNA from 1 species
ACUGCUAUCGGGGUGGGACUAAGACAUGCAAGUUGAGCGUCUCUAGGCUAUGGUAGAGACGCGGCAUACGGCUCAGUAGCACGUGGCCAACCUACCCUUAGGACGGGGACAACCCCGGGAAACUGGGACUAAUAUCCGAUAGAUUAGGAGGCCUGGAAUGGUUCUUAGUCGAAAGGGCUUUGAAACCAUGCUUUUCAACGUCGCCUAAGGAUGGGGCCGCGCCCGAUCAGGCUGUUGGUGGGGUAAUGGCUCACCAAACCUAUAACCGGUGCGGGCCGUGAGAGCGGGAGCCCGGAGAUGGGCACUGAGAUAAGGGCCCAGGCCCUACGGGGCGCAGCAGUCGCGAAAACUCCGCAAUGCGCGAAAACGUGACGGGGCUACCCCGAGUGCCGUCCGCUGAGGAUGGCUUUUCCCCGGUGUAAUGAGCCGGGGGAAUAAGGAGAGGGCAAGUCUGGUGUCAGCCGCCGCGGUAAUACCAGCUCUCCGAGUGGUAGGGACGAUUAUUGGGCUUAAAGCGUCCGUAGCCGGCUUAGCAAGUCUCCUGUUAAAUUCAGCGACCAAAUCGUUGAGCCGCGGGAGAUACUACUAGGCUAGGAGGCGGGAGAGGCCGACGGUAUUCUCGGGGUAGGGGUGAAAUCCUAUAAUCCCGGGAGGACCACCAGUGGCGAAGGCUGUCGGCUAGAACGCGCUCGACGGUGAGGGACGAAAGCUGGGGGAGCGAACCGGAUUAGAUACCCGGGUAGUCCCAGCUGUAAACGAUGCGGGCUAGGUGUUGGGGUGGCUACGAGCCACUUCAGUGCCGCAGGGAAGCCAUUAAGCCCGCCGCCUGGGGAGUACGGCCGCAAGGCUGAAACUUAAAGGAAUUGGCGGGGGAGCACCACAAGGCGUGAAG